rnacentral:rRNA from 1 species
UACGGAGGGUGCAAGCGUUAUCCGGAUUCACUGGGCGUAAAGGGCGCGUAGGCGGCUUUAUAAGUCGGGGGUGAAAGCCUGUGGCUCAACCACAGAAUUGCCUUCGAUACUGUAGAGCUUGAGACCGGAAGAGGUAAGUGGAACUGCGAGUGUAGAGGUGAAAUUCGUAGAUAUUCGCAAGAACACCAGUGGCGAAGGCGGCUUACUGGUCCGGUUCUGACGCUGAGGCGCGAAAGCGUGGGGAUCAAACAGG